CAUAAACGGAGAGAUCUAAGCCACGCCCCCUCCAACGUUAUGUCCCCAAUGGGAGCUCUAAGCCACGCCCCCUCCAUUAUAUCCAAUGAUGCUCUUAAGCCACGCCCCCUCAUUAUCAUAAACGGGAGCUCUAAGCCACGCCCCCUCCCGAUUAGUUUCCAUUGGGACAUUCUUAAGCCACGCCCCCUCACUCAUUCCCGCUCUCUCUUCGCGGCACUUUCCGUCGCGCUUUGAUGACCGCUUCACCCUGUCACGCGUACAGGUCCACGUGGCGCCCAACAUGGCCGCCCCCACGGGGGCGCUAUGGCGCGGUUGCUGCGCCACGUUUCUUCCUUCCGGGCUUUGUGCCAGCGGCGCCGCGGCGGAACAGGCCGAAAAAGUCACGGUGAACGUGGUGUUCGUGGAUGGAAAACAGGCGCACGGGUGAAGGUGACCGGAAGAGUCGCGGGACAACGUGAUGCGGCCUCGGCAGGGACAACGGGGUCAGCAUCGAGGGUACGGGAUUGUAUAGGGUAUAUAGGGGAU
rnacentral:lncRNA from 1 species